AGAUUGAACGCUGGCGGCAGGCCUAACACAUGCAAGUCGAGCGGUAGCACAGAGAGCUUGCUCUCGGGUGACGAGCGGCGGACGGGUGAGUAAUGUCUGGGAAACUGCCUGAUGGAGGGGGAUAACUACUGGAAACGGUAGCUAAUACCGCAUAACGUCGCAAGACCAAAGAGGGGGACCUUCGGGCCUCUUGCCAUCAGAUGUGCCCAGAUGGGAUUAGCUAGUAGGUGGGGUAAUGGCUCACCUAGGCGACGAUCCCUAGCUGGUCUGAGAGGAUGACCAGCCACACUGGAACUGAGACACGGUCCAGACUCCUACGGGAGGCAGCAGUGGGGAAUAUUGCACAAUGGGCGCAAGCCUGAUGCAGCCAUGCCGCGUGUAUGAAGAAGGCCUUCGGGUUGUAAAGUACUUUCAGCGAGGAGGAAGGCAUUGUGGUUAAUAACCACAGUGAUUGACGUUACUCGCAGAAGAAGCACCGGCUAACUCCGUGCCAGCAGCCGCGGUAAUACGGAGGGUGCAAGCGUUAAUCGGAAUUACUGGGCGUAAAGCGCACGCAGGCGGUCUGUCAAGUCGGAUGUGAAAUCCCCGGGCUCAACCUGGGAACUGCAUUCGAAACUGGCAGGCUAGAGUCUUGUAGAGGGGGGUAGAAUUCCAGGUGUAGCGGUGAAAUGCGUAGAGAUCUGGAGGAAUACCGGUGGCGAAGGCGGCCCCCUGGACAAAGACUGACGCUCAGGUGCGAAAGCGUGGGGAGCAAACAGGAUUAGAUACCCUGGUAGUCCACGCCGUAAACGAUGUCGACUUGGAGGUUGUUCCCUUGAGGAGUGGCUUCCGGAGCUAACGCGUUAAGUCGACCGCCUGGGGAGUACGGCCGCAAGGUUAAAACUCAAAUGAAUUGACGGGGGCCCGCACAAGCGGUGGAGCAUGUGGUUUAAUUCGAUGCAACGCGAAGAACCUUACCUACUCUUGACAUCCAGAGAACUUAGCAGAGAUGCUUUGGUGCCUUCGGGAACUCUGAGACAGGUGCUGCAUGGCUGUCGUCAGCUCGUGUUGUGAAAUGUUGGGUUAAGUCCCGCAACGAGCGCAACCCUUAUCCUUUGUUGCCAGCGGUUCGGCCGGGAACUCAAAGGAGACUGCCAGUGAUAAACUGGAGGAAGGUGGGGAUGACGUCAAGUCAUCAUGGGCCCUUACGAGUAGGGCUACACACGUGCUACAAUGGCGCAUACAAAGAGAAGCGACCUCGCGAGAGCAAGCGGACCUCAUAAAGUGCGUCGUAGUCCGGAUUGGAGUCUGCAACUCGACUCCAUGAAGUCGGAAUCGCUAGUAAUCGUAGAUCAGAAUGCUACGGUGAAUACGUUCCCGGGCCUUGUACACACCGCCCGUCACACCAUGGGAGUGGGUUGCA
rnacentral:rRNA from 1 species